CACGAGCUAUUUAUUUAAGCAAACACUGAACGAUUAUUACAGUUUUCAUAGUACAACCCGGAAGACUUUUUAUUUUAUUCAAUCACCUACCUCUCCACCACACUAAUCUUUUUCCCUACCACCACUAAUAUUUUCUUUUCCCUACCACUAAUUUUUUUCCCUACCACCACUAAUAUUUUCUUUUCCCUACCACUAAUCUUUUUCCCUACCACCACUAAUUUGUUUUCAUACCACUACGCUUUGUAAAAAAAAAAAUAGCUUUUAGUCAUGCCCUUAUAUCCUUACUUCUCUCUGCACAACCAAAGUUGGAAUUCAUAGAAGCCUUUAAGCUCCAAGAGUAGUAUCAAAGUAAGGGAGAGCGUGGGAAACCUAGGGCGUAAAGUUAGAGUGAAGAUUGUGCUUCGAGGGCUUUGUGACCAGGGGGAUUAGCGCUGCUUUCCCAAGACAGGUUUUUAUGUGUAUGAUCUUCAGGCUUUGCCUAUCCAGGUUGGCUGGCCGGUGCUGACGGGACGGAGCUGAGGCUAGAGAUAAAUUCCUAUGUUAGACUUCCGCUGUAGCAAUUACUCAUAUCAGUCUUUUGUUUUCUCAACUUAAGAUCUUCAUGUUAAAUUUCAAAUGAUAUACCUGACCGAGCUUAGACUCUUCACUACUAAAUUCAUGCUAAUAAAUGUCGGUUGUCAGAAGCAUGAAACAAAACUUGUGAUCCAAAGGGGCAUAGCCCGACUCUCUAUCUUAUUAUUCGGGUUUUAACAAGGUUGUUCCUUGUUUAUUUCUAUGAAUUAGUUGCACCUCGAUUAUAUUUAUUCAUUCAAGAAUUGGGGUGUGACAGAAUGGUAUAAGAGCAUGAGUUUUCUUUCAUGACUCUGAUAACCAUAAGCUUUUGAUGUCGAGUCUAGAAUAGUAUCUCUAGACUUCUAAGAAUGUCAAUAGCCCUCAGCUCACCGUCACACUGCCGCAACUAAGGUAUGAUAAUAGUUUCAAAAAUAUAUAUGUAUAUUCAAAGCUAUGAAAAUUUUCAAGAAAAUGUGCGCCUUAUGUUUAUGAUGUUAUGUGAAUGCAAA